rnacentral:misc_RNA from 1 species
GAUGAAGAACGCAGCGAAAUGCGAUACGUAAUGUGAAUUGCAAAUUCAGUGAAUCAUCGAGUCUUUGAACGCACAUUGCGCCCCCUGGUAUUCCGGGGGGCAUGCCUGUUCGAGCGUCAUUGCUGCCCUCAAGCACGGCUUGUGUGUUGGGCCCCGUCCUCCGAUCCCGGGGGACGGGCCCGAAAGGCAGCGGCGGCACCGCGUCCGGUCCUCGAGCGUAUGGGGCUUUGUCACCCGCUCUGUAGGCCCGGCCGGCGCUUGCCGAUCAACCCAAAUUUUUAUCCAGGUUGACCUCGGAUCAGGUAGGGAUACCCGCUGAACUUAAGCAUAUCAAUAAGCGGAGGA